CGACCCUUCAUCCUGACAACAGCAGUUGUUUCCAUCCCUAGAAGAACCAGCUUCAUCUUACCUUCCUCAGAAACACCAGCACCAGCCAGGCCUAUCUCCUCCUCCAAGGCUGGCAGAGAGAAAAUUGCCCAGGCAACUUCUACUACUAUUUCAGUGAGAGAUGAGUCUUAAGUUUGAAGAUACAGCCCUGAACAAGAAAGAAAAGUUCCCUGCCCAUGAGGAGGUGUCUUUCUCCAGGGGGAAGCAGACAAUAAAUAAAUAGAGUGCCAUGUGAAUAGAACCCAACAAUUCUGGGUCUGGCUUCUUUCACCUUGUAAAAUGCAGGUAAGAUUCGUGCAUGCUAUUUUGUGAGUCAGUAGUUCAUUCUAUUCUAUUGCUGAAAGUAUUC